AGUGAACGCUGGCGGUAGGCCUAACACAUGCGAGUCGAACGGCAGCACAGUAAGAGCUUGCUCUUACGGGUGGCGAGUGGCGGACGGGUGAGGAAUACAUCGGAAUCUACUUUUUCGUGGGGGAUAACGUAGGGAAACUUACGCUAAUACCGCAUACGACCUACGGGUGAAAGCAGGGGAUCUUCGGACCUUGCGCGAUUGAAUGAGCCGAUGUCGGAUUAGCUAGUUGGCGGGGUAAAGGCCCACCAAGGCGACGAUCCGUAGCUGGUCUGAGAGGAUGAUCAGCCAAACUGGAACUGAGACACGGUCCAGACUCCUACGGGAGGCAGCAGUGGGGAAUAUUGGACAAUGGGCGCAAGCCUGAUCCAGCCAUACCGCGUGGGUGAAGAAGGCCUUCGGGUUGUAAAGCCCUUUUGUUGGGAAAGAAAAGCAGCAGGUUAAUACCCCGCUGUUCUGACGGUACCCAAAGAAUAAGCACCGGCUAACUUCGUG
rnacentral:rRNA from 1 species